rnacentral:rRNA from 1 species
AUACGGAGGAUGCAAGCGUUAUCCGGAUUUAUUGGGUUUAAAGGGUGCGUAGGCGGUUUGCUAAGCGGGAGGUGAAAUGCCGGCGCUCAACGUCGGAAGUGCCUCCCGAACUGGUGGACUGGAAUGACUCUGCCGUGGGAGGAAUGUGUAGUGUAGCGGUGCAAUGCUUAGAGAUUACACAGAACACCGAUUGCGAAGGCAUCUCACGAAGGGUUGAUUGACGCUGAGGCACGAAAGCGUGGGGAUCAAACAGGAUUAGAUACCCUGGUAGUCCACGCAGUAAACGAUGAUGGCUAACCGCUGGUUUUUUCGGAUCAGUGGCCAAGCGAAAGCGAUAAGCCAUCCACCUGGGGAGUACGACCGCAAGGUUGAAACUCAAAUGAAUUGACGGGG